UACGUAGGGGGCAAGCGUUGUCCGGAUUUAUUGGGCGUAAAGCGCGUGUAGGCGGUUUGGUAGGUCCGUUGUGAAAACUCGAGGCUCAACCUCGAGACGCCGAUGGAAACCAUCAGACUAGAGUCCGGAAGAGGAGAGUGGAAUUCCUGGUGUAGCGGUGAAAUGCGCAGAUAUCAGGAAGAACACCCGUGGCUAAGGCGGCUCUCUAGUACGGUACUGACGCUGAGACGCGAAAGCGUGGGAGCGAACAGG
rnacentral:rRNA from 1 species